AAAAAUUUAAAUGAAAACAAGAGUAAUAAAAAAUAUGGAAUGACGAAGGAAGAACCCCCAAAGCUAUCUGGGAAAUGGCAUGACAAUUAUGACUAUCCCUAUGAUUAUGACUCUAAAUAUUGGAAUGAGGACAAGUUCAUAUGGGUAGCCACAGUGCAACAACAUUCCAAAAAAUUCGCUAUAAUAAUUGGUAUAGGCUGUUUUGCUUUCGCCUAUCGUUUGAUACAAAAAGCUGGC